UACCCACAACGUAAUUGGUACACAAGGAUAUUAUUACUUGUCCCAAAGAGAAGGGAAAUGACGACACGGAGAAAAAACGAAAGAUAUAUAAAUUCGCCUAACGGCGCACGUACGCGCGUGCAAUCAUUGCAUUUCUCCUAUCAGUGUACCGAGCUUGAGUUUGGCCUAUCAGCCGCGUAUACGUGAAUAUAUAUAUAUACACCUACUGCAUAAGUGAAGCAUUGUACGAGCUGGUAGCGCACGUGUAGAAAAAAUCGCAGUUUUACCGAGGCCGUGAACAAGAGCGAUAGUAGGGCCAGUUUCUAGUAACGCGGUGUCAUGAAGUUUUGUAACGCGAUUCCACGCUGUCUCGUAAUCACUCUAUUGUAAUCCAAGCGAUAAUUUUCCCUUUGGCGACCAAAGGAUUUAUUGUUGUUCCACUUUAACGUACAUUUUUUUCACUGUCUCUUCCAUGAUUUUCUUAUUAAAAGGCCGUUACGUCAUCUUAGCGUGUGUAUCCGCUUCCGGAUAUCAUACACUACAUAUAAAAAAUAAUCGAGUUAAUUGAAUUUAAAAGAGAUUGGCAACGUGUCAUUGCAAUGAAUAUUCAGUGACGAAGUGAAUCGACCAUUUUCAUGACACAUUAAGCAACGAUCGCAUCGUGCUUUGAGAACACACCGCGACGUCGAAACGUCGCUGAUUUAUUAUCUAUCGUCAAUGUGUUUACGUAUGAAUCAAAGACGGUGGAUAGUCGUGCCUGGUAACGAAAUAUGUGUGCUUCGACCAAUUUGACUUUCAUCUUUUCUCGAAGCCAUUAAGGGAUCCUGUGCUUAGAUCGAGGAAUGGGACUCGAUAUUUCGACUGCCUUCAAUCGUAUUAACGGGUGCCAUUUAGACAGAAACCAGCUAAGGUGUCCAUCCCUCAUAGGUCACGAAUAGUGUCAGGAACACAGUAGUUCCCAACACGGAUGAAGUUAAAUAAAAAUAUUAAAACUGUGAUUCGUCGUAUUACUUGGGAAUCCAACAUGGAAUAAAAGGAGAAAGAAGACGUAUAGAUGAUUAUGAAUUUACAUAGUCAAUAUACGUAUAGCGGAUGAGUAAUAUGGCGAAAGGACCAAUGACGAUGACUGUUGGCUGUCAUUGUAAACGAGGAGAGUCGUUAUGUGAUACAGAUACGUGUGGGUCUCUGUGGCACGUUCCAUCGUGAGUCAUACACUUCUUUUACCAUCGCAUCCGCUAUGCGAUUGUAAGAAUAGAAUGAAAUUGAUUCAUUUACCAGACGCCCGAUGACUUCGUACAAAACACACACAAAACAAGCGACGCGGUUCUCGGCGUUCGCGUCUGCGUACACGCGACUUAUGUAGACUCAGGGCGAUUACUUUUCUCGUGUAUCUGAGAGACCAAGGAGAUUUUGAUCUGACUUUGUUAUAUGGUAAAUUGAUAAAAGUCUGUUAUAGUGAACAGUGAUAUAUUUAUAGAUGCAAGGAUUGAUUUUGCAUGAGUUUUGACGAAUUUUCGAAUUUUUUUUACUUAACAUUUUCAAAUGACUCGACAACAACGAUAUCUAACGAUUCUAUAUGAAUAUUUACUCGUUACGUCAGAAAUCAUACGAUAAAAGAAUUUGCCUACGCGUGAAUCAGCAAACUGUUUUGGCGCGAGGUUUUCGAUCUUGUCAUUUGGCCCGCGGCGGUCCGACCGGAAAUACGAGUCGAAUUUGUGCGUGAUACGCGCUGACGCAUGUCGUACGAUCCAUCUGUUGCAUUUCGUGACAAGAAAGACAGCUAAGAGGAUGACACGUUCGUAGAAUGGAUAUUAAAUGUACGAUUAAUAAAAAUAAUCUCCUCAGUCUGAGGUUUAAUGAUUAUAUCGCGAAAUGUAAACAGGAUAUAUGGAUGUAUUGUGUAUGCAUAUAUAUUUACCAGUAUAUUAGCUUUACAACGUGGCAAAUACGAGUGCACAGGAGAAUCAUGUUAUCGAAGCACGUGUCAGUUGUGCGCACAGCUUUAUUUAUGUCAGAUGAGCCAACCUUACGGAAACAGAGCGUAUGAGGAAAUUUGCGAGAUUGGCAACUGUAUUUUCAGGAGGAUGAGGAGGUAAAAAACUGCGGUACCCUCGCUACGACCUUCAGUCAACCCUUUGAAAAUAGAGACUUUCGGACAACCUUACUCCUGCAAGACCUUUUUGGAUAAGGGUUUUCGAGAUUAUUGAAUCCGAGCAGCAUUUUGAAUUUAAAAUUCUGGAUAUUAUACUCGGAAAGGGCAAAAUCAAAAAACCUCGUAAGUCAAAUUUUACGAAGAUCAACAAAAAGAGUUCGGAAAAUAAUAGGGGGUGACACAUAAAUGUGAACCGUCAUCAAGGGGUUAAUAACAGGCUUAAUGAAAAGUCAGAAAUGGUAUUAUCAGCAGCCUGGUUAGGAACGUGAUAACGUUAUCAAGAAAUAUGAUUGGGAAAGUUAUCAUUGAUAUUUUUUUUUUCAAAUAUGUAAAAAUUAGUAUACAAUGAUUAAUAUAUCCGCUUUCACACUUGUAAAUACCCAACUUUAUACAGUUUAUAAUACAAAAGUUCUGGUUCUGCUGAAACCACUGAUAAGCAAUACCAACGCUUAUUGUGAUGAGGCUGACACUAUUAUUAUAUUACCUAUCUAAGAAACGUAUCGAUGAUGGUUUCCUUUUGUUCAUGUUCCUUCCAGCCGAAAAAGCGUCAACGUUUUGUACAAAUGACAUUCAUAUACAUGAGACGGCUUCAUCGUUAUUUGUUGCGUAUGCGGCCUUAUCUUAUUUUUGUUGUUUCAUAUGCUGAUAUGGUACUUUUGCUAAAAAGUUUUGUUGUGGGAUAUUUUUUGGAAAAUACACAAUCACACAAAUGUCCACUUACGGGAUAUGA